CCGUGAACCUUUACUAUAGCUUGACACUGAACAUUGAGCCUUGAUGUGUAGGAUAGGUGGGAGGCUUUGAAGCGUGGACGCCAGUCUGCAUGGAGCCGACCUUGAAAUACCACCCUUUAAUGUUUGAUGUUCUAACGUGGACCCGUAAUCCGGGUUGCGGACAGUGUCUGGUGGGUAGUUUGACUGGGGCGGUCUCCUCCUAAAGAGUAACGGAGGAGCACGAAGGUUGGCUAAUCCUGGUCGGACAUCAGGAGGUUAGUGCAAUGGCAUAAGCCAGCUUGACUGCGAGCGUGACGGCGCGAGCAGGUGCGAAAGCAGGUCAUAGUGAUCCGGUGGUUCUGAAUGGAAGGGCCAUCGCUCAACGGAUAAAAGGUACUCCGGGGAUAACAGGCUGAUACCGCCCAAGAGUUCAUAUCGACGGCGGUGUUUGGCACCUCGAUGUCGGCUCAUCACAUCCUGGGGCUGAAGUAGGUCCCAAGGGUAUGGCUGUUCGCCAUUUAAAGUGGUACGCGAGCUGGGUUUAGAACGUCGUGAGACAGUUCGGUCCCUAUCUGCCGUGGGCGCUGGAGAACUGAGGGGGGCUGCUCCUAGUACGAGAGGACCGGAGUGGACGCAUCACUGGUGUUCGGGUUGUCAUGCCAAUGGCACUGCCCGGUAGCUAAAUGCGGAAGAGAUAAGUGCUGAAAGCAUCUAAGCACGAAACUUGCCCCGAG
rnacentral:rRNA from 1 species